rnacentral:rRNA from 1 species
GAUGAACGCUGGCGGCGUGCCUAAUACAUGCAAGUCGAGCGAACGGACGAGAAGCUUGCUUCUCUGAUGUUAGCGGCGGACGGGUGAGUAACACGUGGAUAACCUACCUAUAAGACUGGGAUAACUUCGGGAAACCGGAGCUAAUACCGGAUAAUAUUUUGAACCGCAUGGUUCAAAAGUGAAAGACGGUCUUGCUGUCACUUAUAGAUGGAUCCGCGCUGCAUUAGCUAGUUGGUAAGGUAACGGCUUACCAAGGCAACGAUGCAUAGCCGACCUGAGAGGGUGAUCGGCCACACUGGAACUGAGACACGGUCCAGACUCCGACGGGAGGCAGCAGUAGGGAAUCUUCCGCGAUGGGCGAAAGCCUGACGGAGCAACGCCGCGUGAGUGAUGAAGGUCUUCGGAUCGUAAAACUCUGUUAUUAGGGAAGAACAUAUGUGUAAGUAACUGUGCACAUCUUGACGGUACCUAAUCAGAAAGCCACGGCUAACUACGUG